AUGAGCGAUGAUGUACUGAAGUUGCUAUACUUCAUUGCAAGUAUUGAAAAGGAAGGCGCUGAAAAAAUCGAUCUCAACAAGGAUGCUCUUCAAGCUAGCCGGAUGAAGGAAGGAGCCAGCGAGGCUGCUCCUUUUGAUCCCAGAGAUCAGGAGCUAAUUGAGCACCUUGAGGCCAAAGUGAGUGCUGACGGUGCAAGAUCUCACCCUCACAUCGAUUUGUUCAUACCAAUCAUCGAUAGCGAGCACGGCAUAUGCUACACCCAUCCCGAGAAACUUCCAGGUAUCACACUAAGUGGCCUAAGCAAGCAUUUCUUCCAGUGCAACUCCAGGGCAUUCAAAAGGGGCACGCGGAUGCAUCGCAAGAUACUACCGGAGUGCGGCGUGCAUGUGAUGUGGCACAAGACUGGCAAUACCUUGUCGGUGAUGGUCAACGGCUGGCAGACGAGCAGCAAAAAGGCUGAUAGUUGGAUGCAGCAUGUCAGAAAUGGGUUGUGGCAUGCCAAGCCCACCUGCAAAUUGUUAAAAGAGAGGAGUGAUGGAUUUGGGCCUUCCAGAAUAGUUAAGUGUCGUGACCUCGAUCAUGAAGCGCCUCCCAUGGACUAA
rnacentral:rRNA from 1 species